rnacentral:rRNA from 1 species
GGGCCCGCACAAGCAGUGGAGUAUGUGGAUUAAUUCGAGGCAACGCGAAGAACCUUACCAGGGCUUGACAUCUCCUGCAGACACAAGAGAUUGUGUUGUCCCUUCGGGGCAGGAAGACAGGUGGUGCAUGGUUGUCGUCAGCUCGUGUCGUGAGAUGUUCGGUUAAGUCCGGCAACGAGCGCAACCCCUGUGGCCAGUUGCCAUCAUUCAGUUGGGCACUCUGGCAAGACCGCCGUUAACAAAACGGAGGAAGGUGGGGAUGACGUCAAAUCAUCAUGCCCCUUAUGUCCUGGGCUUCACACGUACUACAAUGGUAACAACAGAGGGCUGCCACACCGCGAGGUGGAGCGAAUCCCAAAAUGUUAUCUCAGUUCGGAUUGCAGGCUGAAACUCGCCUGCAUGAAGCAGGAAUUGCUAGUAAUGGCAGGUCAGCAUACUGCCGUGAAUACGUUCCCGGGCCUU